rnacentral:rRNA from 1 species
UACGUAGGGGGCGAGCGUUGUCCGGAAUCACUGGGCUUAAAGCGCGUGUAGGCGGAUGACCGCGUCCGGGCCGCUGAAAGCCCCCGGCUCAACCGGGGAAGUGGGGCCGAAACGACCCGUCGUGGAGGGACGUAGGGGAUCUGGAACUUCCGGUGGAGCGGUGAAAUGCGUAGAUAUCAGGAGGAACACCGGUGGUGUAGACGGCUUUCCUGGGACCGUAACUGACG